AGCGCAGGCGGGAAACUAAGCGGAUCUUAAAAGUGCGGGGCUCAACCCCGUGAUGGGGUCCGAACUGGUUUUCUUGAGUGCAGGAGAGGAAAGCGGAAUUCCCAGUGUAGCGGUGAAAUGCGUAGAUAUUGGGAAGAACACCAGUGGCGAAGGCGGCUUUCUGGACUGUAACUGACGCUGAGGCUCGAAAGCUAGGGCAGCGAAG
rnacentral:rRNA from 1 species